CAGGUUCUUUUUUUUUCGUCGUUUUCUGACCCGCUCUUUUUCCUGUUUCUUUUCAAGUCGUCUAUUGAGUACGGACUCGCCUGCAAUUUGCUCUCAAUCCCACUUCCAUUUCUAGGGUUUAAGCUUUGUGACGGCACCCAUGAAGAUGAACAACAUCCCGGAAGAUUUGGUGACAGACAUUCUCACGAGACUUCCAAUUAAGUCCCUGAUCCGAUUCGCUGGUGUUUGCAGUUCUUGGUUAGAUCUCAUAAGGAACCCAGAUUUUAUCAAAAGCCACCAUCUCAAGCAAACAAGUCUCAACGACAACAAUUUCCGUGUCUUUGUGAUGCAUGAUUAUAACUGUUUAUCUCUGCUUACUGAAGUCGCGGAUGACCAAGAGGGGGCAUUUGAUUUCCUGGAAAGUGUUGGAAUACCAUUACGCUUAGUUGUCAUGGGUCAUUGUAAUGGAUUACUUUGUCUCCAUGACCAAUGGGAAAAAAUUUUCAUAUGGAAUCCUGUCACCAGAGAAGUCAAGGCUCUGCCUUUUUUGUCCCACAUCAUGCGUCCAAUUUGUACAGAGUCGACUUCUUUUCGCAACUUUGGGUUUGGUUUUGAUCAUAAGACUGGUGACUACAAGGUGCAGUUGGGGCAAUUGGGGUUGAUGAUAAAAUCAUCUUGUCCUUUGACUUUGGAAAUGAAGUGUUCAAGAAGAUUAUGCUGCCGGAUUUUGGCGAUUCUGUGGGUGAUUACUCCCUGACACUCGCAAUGUUCAAUAGAUUACUUGCAGUCAUCCGUUGCACACAUGAGGGGUUAGGGAAAUUUUUUGAUAUAUUGAUAAUUAAUGAACUUGGAGAAAAGGAAUCUUGGGUCAAACAAGUGAGCGUUGGACCUAUUUUAGGUAUUGAGAGGCCUUUAGGAUUUUGGAUUAAUGGUGACCUGUUUUUGGUAGAUGCAGAGAAGCGCCUGGUCUUAUUUGACACUGGUGUUGAAAAGGUGAUAAAACUUGAACUCCGUGGGAGUACAGGCAUUAUGGAAGUUGUGAAUUAUGUGGAGAGCCUUGUUCCAAUCAAUGGUAGACUAGAGGAUGCGGAUGGACAGUUUGCCCGCGUAAACCCUUGGAACUUUUUUCCUGGGCCAUCCUCCAGUGAUGAGGAGGAGGAAGAAGAAGAAGAUAUGGAGAGAGAGGCUUCUGGGUCUCCAUGAUCUUUUACUUGGUAUGGAUGAAUUAGACAUGUUUCAUUCGUACGUUCAAGUUUAUUUUGCCUGGACUAGAAUGUAAAAGUGUUAUUUUCUAUUCUUGCCAGUAAGUAGUUGAUGGAACCCUGGUUUUGUCUCCCAGCCAGCGAAUGGCGUGAAACUUUGAAUGAAUGUAGAAUAGAGCAGGAUGGUCUCAAUAACAGUUAUAGCCUUAUAGGCUAUUUGGGUGAUAAUACAAUGGGCUUAGUGAAAACAGCUGUGAGAUGACAAUAGUGGACUUAGAAGACUGGUUUUUCGAGCUCUCAAGUCCUGAUUGCAGCUUUUCAAGCUCAUCAAUUAGAGGUUUGGAGUCUAACCAGGACUGCGUGGCACUAUCUCUGGCCGUCUUCAGUUUCUCUUUGAUCAGGAUCAGUUCUACCAUCUUUGCUUUCACUGCAUCGCCAGGGCUUUCCUCAGGUACUCCUUUUCCAUGGCGUUCCUUCAUUUGCAUUCUGCAUAAAAGUGAGCAUGUUUAUCAAUCUUGUGUAGAGUUACUUAUGUACGCAAACUGUGCGAUUGUUUCCGCGUAAUUGCUGCGUAAAUCUCGAGUACUUGGAUUGUCUCACUCGCCCUAAAAUACUCCUUGGACAGAUUUUAAAUUAUGAUUAGUAUUAUUUAAUGUGUGAUUUUGAUUCCAAAUGCUUUUGGUUGGGCGAGUAUUGCAAAUUGCAAUCGUUUAUUUAUAUGGUUCUAAGCUGUCUUUGUGUUCCUCGUUGUAUUCAAUAAGAAUAAUUGUCGUUUCUCUUG